AACAAACGGAAUGCUCGAACAUCCCAUAUCUAAAGCCAAAAUUCUAUUAAUUUUUAAAUUCUUAAAACCCUUUCUUCAUUUCAUCCUAAAGUUUCUCUUUUCUCUUUCGGGUAGAUAAAAUCGAUCAUAAGAAUAACAUAACACGAACAUAUAUCAACAUAACCGAAAAUAAAUAAAUAAAUAAAUAAUAAUAAUAACCUUAUCACAAAUACCAACCAGCCGAAGCUAAGGUUUUAAUAAACGCGAUAUUGAAGAAAAAAGACAACCGGAGUAAAAAUUGACACUCACCUAUAUCGCAAUCAGCAGGGUUAAGAAGAACCGGCGGGUGAGUUGUAUCCGAUUCAGUAACCUUUACUUUCUGUCGUUUACGUCCCGGUUCGGAUCCGUCAGUUCCCGGUGGCUCGCGUUCCACCGACGCCAUUUUUCGCUCGGAUUGUGUUAAGAGUGUUAUUUGAGGAAUGAGACAGAAAUUUUGUGUGUGCGUUCCGGUGCGUGGGUACCGGGAAAAAAAGGGUCCGGAUCUCCUGCGAGAAUUAUUUUGGGGACAUUGGCGGUUAGUCCCAUUAAAAGAAAUCGUGUUUUUGUCCUUCCACGAUUUU
rnacentral:lncRNA from 1 species